rnacentral:lncRNA from 10 species
CGCAAAUGCACAUGCACUAGUCUUGGAACACAAGGCCUCAUUGUGAGCUCUGGUUAGCAUCACAAUGAAUGUCACCAUUGCCUAGCAAAGAGUCCCUGCUGCUUGGUGGAGAAGGAGACCUCUGUGGAAGUGUGUUGGUUGUGGAGUCUUGCCUGUCUUCUCUAUGGUAUCCACGGGGUUGUCCCAUGAUCCUAGGAGAGGAAAAACAUAAGCCAGCCUGAAGAUACGUCAAGCACAGCCACAGGAAUAAACUGCAAAAUCCCUAAGAAUCCAAAAGGAUCUGCAGGAUUUCUCAAGCCUGCCUAGAUGUCGAAUCUUUGAACAUCGCUUGGACUCGUUCACAAGUCAGCUCAUUCUCUCAGCGCUACUGGACACCAUUCUCAGGCUGGCAAUUGCCACAGAGGGCAUCUGAGACAUUGUCUCAACUUCAUCUGCACCAGUGGGAGGCCUUUCCCAGGUGGGAGAACACUACUCCACUUUGGAAUUGCCAUUGUCAGUGUUCCUGGCUUUCCCAGAGAGCCACUGCAAGGCCCAGGAUGAAGGGAGGCAGUGAGAUUAAGGACACAAUCAUCUUUCACUGACAUCCAACUCUGGGACCUCAGAAAGCCUUUGUGAGGCCCAGGAUGAAGGGAGGCAAUGAGGUUAAGGGCCCAACUGCCAGAAUAUAUUCCAAUACCCACGGGACUUGAUUACUGCACACAGCCUCUUUCGUGAAUGGUGUCAAAAGGGCCAUUUCCUCAGGCCUGCCUAGACGUUGUACGGGUGAGUCUUUUUGAAUCUUGCCCCACUGUGAUUUCUAGGUACAGAUCAUCUGUGUUCCCCAGGGUUGCUCUCUCCUAGAUGGGGCUUUCUGCAGAACCACACUGCCUCAGGAGCUGCCAGGCCAUGUGUUUCUGUGGGAGUAUUGCAAGUGUUAGAUUUAUGCGUCUGUGUGUGGUGUGUAUUUGUGUGUGUGUGUGUGUGUGUGUGUGUGUGUGUGUGUGUGGCUGUAAGUGGAGUCUGCUUAAUGGAAUGUGGCUAACACACUUCAGCCCUUCUUCUUCUCUCUUUCUUUUUUUUUUCAGUCUCACAACCUUUUGGUUGUCUGUCUUUGUGGCUUUGCUUGGGCUGCCCAGCUCUUUGUUCUUUAUUUUCCUGUGGUUCAUGAAUCUAUAGUUAAUUGUGUGCUGAGACCCACUGGCAUUCAAAUCCUCUCCCACUGCAAAAAAUAAAUAAAUAAAUAAAUAAAUAAAUAAAUAAAUAAAUAAAUAAAAUAAAAAGCCUUUCGUCUACAAAGAAAGGGAGCACUCUUCUCCAAAAAACAGACAUCUCCAUCAUUUCAUUUUCGUGUGGUCAACCCAGGAAGAGACACUGGCUGUCCUGUCCGCAGGGCCCUUGAAUGUAUCUGUAAUUCAGUUCCCAACCAAUCAGGUGCUUCACAUCAUGAGGGAGAACUCUUCCAUCAUCUUGGAAUUUUAUCCUGUUACAUAGAGUGUGGGCAGCAAUAAAGUCAGAUGGGGUGAGGAUACAAUCUGGUGAGAAGUGGAUGGGGGUCCUGCAACUUCAUCUGCAAAAAAAUGAAGACUGAUGACACAGAAGGUGUUUCCAACUCCAUCCCCACAUUUUCUUAAUUGCACAAGCAGUCCACACAAUGGUCUGGUGUUGAAGUGGGAAUAUUCCAAUGUGUAAGAAACAUUUGGAGUGCAAAUUUGGGACACAAGGCAGCUCAUUCUCUCAGGCAAGCCUUGAUUUUCCUUUGCUUUCAUGGGGAAUCCACAGUGCCCCACAACAGCACUACUGGACACUUAUUUCGGGAUUUCCAUUGCCAGAGACGGCCUCUGAGAAACUGUCUCAACCUCAUCUUCACCCUUGAGAAGCCAGUCCAAGGUGUGAGAACACUUCUCCACCUUGGACUUGCCUUUGUCAUGGUUUCUGCCAUUACCAGAGGUUUCCUGCCUUUCCCAGAUGGCCACUGUGAAGCUCAGGAUGAAGGGAGGCAGUGAGGUGAAUAUCCUGGCCAUCUUUCACUGACAGAGACUCCACCUCUGGAGUCUCAGGUAUGAUUCAAUCAUCCAAAAUACCUCGACAGCACACCAGAUCAAAUUCCAGUCCCCAUGGGACCCAAUUAUUUCACGCAACCUCUCUGAGAAAUGAAAUCAGAAGAAGAGUUGUGAGUGAAGACCUCACAGUUUCAAAACGCUUCCUCCUGUAGCAGGACCCAACCACAGAGACUGCCAGAAGGGGCCCUGAGGUCAAAAUUUUUAGGGUCCCUCAGUGGAUACUUGCAGGCAGGCUUUUUUUCAGAUAUCAGGCCGCUUUCAUCUGUACUAUUUUCCUCUGCUUAGGCAGGCUGACAGCUCUGAUAGCCUGGCACCAGAACCUACUUUGUGCUUACACAGGCGCUAGUCUCAGGGCACCAGGCUUGAUUGUGAGCUCUGGCUAGCAUCACAGUGAAUGUCACUGUUGCCUAACAAUAAGUCUCUGCGGCUUAGGGGAGGAGAACUCCGUGAAGGCAUAUGGGCUGUGGACUCUCACCUGUCUUCUCUGUGGGAUCCAUGAUGUAGUCCCAUGAUCCCAGGACAGGGCAGACCUGAGCCAGCAUGAUAAAAAGUCAAGUAGAACCCCAAGAAUAAACCACAAAAUCUCUAAGAUUUCAGAAGGAUUUGUAGAAUGCAGCAGGCCUGCCUACACAUUGUAGAGUUGAGUUUUUUGAAACUUGCUCCACUGUGAUUUCUAGAAGCACCCUGUCUGUGUUGCCCAGAAUUGCUCUCACCCAGGUGAGGCUUCCUGCAGAACCAUGCAACCUCAGAAGCAGUUCUUAGAUGUCUGCUUGUAGGUGUGACUUUCUGCCUUUGUGUGUGUGUGUGUGUGUGUGCACUCGUGUAAGUGCCUGUAAGUCAAGCCUGCUUAAAAGAAUGUGGCUAAUGCCCUGCAGCAAUUCUUUUUUAUUUGCAUCUCCCAACCUUUAGGUGGUCUGUUUGUGUGGCUCUUCUUAGGCUGAAGGGCUCCAUGUUCUUUAAUUUUUCUGUGGAUCAUGAAUAGAAGUGAAUUUGGACACUGGCUGUGACCUGCUGGUGUCCACUUCACCUCCCCAUGCAAAAAAAAAAAAAAAAAAAAAAAAUUCUUCUAGAAAGAAUAGGAGCAUAAAACAUCCAAGAACAGACAUCUCCAAUUGUUUCAUUGUUCUGCAGCCAACCCAGGGAGAAAAACUAGCAGUCCUGUCUGCAGGACUUUUGAAUUUAUUUUGAAUUUAUUUUGAAUUCGGUUGCCACAUGAGCAGGUGGUUCAUGUCAUGAAGUGGCACUUCUGCAAAGCCUUGAGAUUUCAUUCUGAAACAUAGAGUGUGAGCAGCAAUAUGAUCAUAUAGGGUGUUUCCUGGGAUUGGCUCAUCG